rnacentral:rRNA from 1 species
GACGAACGCUGGCGGCGUGCUUAACACAUGCAAGUCGAACGGAAAGGCCCUGCUUUUGUGGGGUGCUCGAGUGGCGAACGGGUGAGUAACACGUGAGUAACCUGCCCUUGACUUUGGGAUAACUUCAGGAAACUGGGGCUAAUACCGGAUAGGAGCUCCUGCUGCAUGGUGGGGGUUGGAAAGUUUCGGCGGUUGGGGAUGGACUCGCGGCUUAUCAGCUUGUUGGUGGGGUAGUGGCUUACCAAGGCUUUGACGGGUAGCCGGCCUGAGAGGGUGACCGGGCACAUGGGGACUAAGGGACGGAGCAGACUCCUACGGGAGGCAGCAGUGGGGAAUAUUGCACAAUGGGCGGGAGCCUGAGGCAGCAGCGCCGCGUGCGGGAUAACGGCCUUCGGGUUGUGAACCGCUGUCGCCUGUGACGAAGCGGGAGUGACGGUAAUGGGUAAGGAAGCACCGGCUAACUACGUG